rnacentral:misc_RNA from 1 species
GAAAUGCGAUAAGUAAUGUGAAUUGCAGAAUUCAGUGAAUCAUCGAAUCUUUGAAGACACAUUGCGCCUAUUAGUAUUCUAGUAGGCAUGCCUGUUCGAGCGUCAUUUCAACCAUCAAGCCCCCGGGCUUGUGUUGGGGACCUGCGGCUGCCCGCAGGCCCUGAAAACCAGUGGCGGGCUCGCUGUCACACCGAGCGUAGUAGCAAUCACCUCGCUCAGGGCGUGCUGCGGGUUCCGGCCGUUAAACAGCCUUACAAAACCCAAGGUUGACCUCGGAUCAGGUAGGAAGACCCGCUGAACUUAAGC